AGUGGGUCAGCUACAUUGUCCAUGGAGUCGACUCUCUUUACCUCGAUGUAUCGCUUCUUGAGAUAAUCGCGGAUGAAGUGGAACCACCGCUCGAUGUGUUUGAAUUUUUGAUAAGACCUUGGCUCCUUAGCAAGGACUACGGCACCGUUGUUAUUAUAGUAGAGAGAAAUAUUAUCUAAUGGCAUCACAUCCAGUUUUGCAAUAAACUUCUUGAACC
rnacentral:lncRNA from 1 species